UCAGGACACGUAUCGGAUUACUGGGCGUAAGCGCGCGUAGGUGGUUAAUUAAGUCAAAUGUGAAAUCCCCGAGCUUAACUUGGGAAUUGCAUUCGAUACUGGUUAGCUAGAGUAUGGGAGAGGAUGGUAGAAUUCCAGGUGUAGCGGUGAAAUGCGUAGAGAUCUGGAGGAAUACCGAUGGCGAAGGCAGCCAUCUGGCCUAAUACUGACACUGAGGUGCGAAAGCAUGGGGAGCAAACAGGAUUAGAUACCCUGGUAGUCCAUGCCGUAAACGAUGUCUACUAGCCGUUGGGGGAUUUGAUCCUUUAGUGGCGCAGCUAACGCGAUAAGUAGACCGCCUGGGGAGUACGGUCGCAAGACUAAAACUCAAAUGAAUUGACGGGGGCCCGCACAAGCGGUGGAGCAUGUGGUUUAAUUCGAUGCAACGCGAAGAACCUUACCUGGCCUUGACAUAGUAGAAACUUUCCAGAGAUGGAUUGGUGCCUUCGGGAAUCUACAUACAGGUGCUGCAUGGCUGUCGUCAGCUCGUGUCGUGAGAUGUUGGGUUAAGUCCCGCAACGAGCGCAACCCUUUUCCUUACUUGCCAGCAUUUCGGAUGGGAACUUUAAGGAUACUGCCAGUGACAAACUGGAGGAAGGCGGGGACGACGUCAAGUCAUCAUGGCCCUUACGGCCAGGGCUACACACGUGCUACAAUGGUCGGUACAAAGGGUUGCUACACAGCGAUGUGAUGCUAAUCUCAAAAAGCCGAUCGUAGUCCGGAUCGCAGUCUGCAACUCGACUGCGUGAAGUCGGAAUCGCUAGUAAUCGCGGAUCAGAAUGCCGCGGUGAAUACGUUCCCGGGCCUUGUACACACCGCCCGUCACACCAUGGGAGUUUGUUGCACCAGAGUAGUAGUCUAACCGCAAGGAGGACGCUUACCACGGUGUGGCCGAUGACUGGGGUGAGUCUCGAGGGAAACAACACAUCAUUAAA
rnacentral:rRNA from 1 species